rnacentral:rRNA from 1 species
ACUACGGGGGGCUGCAGUGGGGGAUAUUGCACAAUGGGGGGAACCCUGAUGCAGCGACGCCGCGUGGGUGAAGAAGCGCCUCGGCGCGUAAAGCCCUGUCAGCAGGGAAGAAAAUGACGGUACCUGAAGAAGAAGCCCCGGCUAACUACGUGCCAGCAGCCGCGGUAAUACGUAGGGGGCAAGCGUUAUCCGGAUUUACUGGGUGUAAAGGGGGCGCAGACGGCGAUGCAAGCCAGGAGUGAAAGCCCGGGGCCCAACCCCGGGACUGCGCUUGGAACUGCGUGGCUGGAGUGCAGGAGGGGCAGGCGGAAUUCCUGGUGUAGCGGUGAAAUGCGUAGAUAUCAGGAGGAACACCGGUGGCGAAGGCGGCCUGCUGGACUGCAACUGACGUUGAGGCCCGAAAGCGUGGGGAGCAAACAGGAUUAGAUACCCCAGUAGUC